UACGUAGGCAGCAAGCGUUGUUCGGAAUUACUGGGCGUAAAGAGUGUGUAGGCGGUGCUCUAAGUCUGUUGUGAAAUCUCCCGGCUUAACUGGGAGGGUGCAGCGGAAACUGGAAUGCUCGAGUAUGGGAGAGGUAAGCGGAAUUCCAGGUGUAGCGGUGAAAUGCGUAGAUAUCUGGAGGAACACCGGUGGCGAAGGCGGCAUCCUGGACCAACACUGACGCUGAGUGAGCGAAAGCCAGGGGAGCAAACGGG
rnacentral:rRNA from 1 species